GGGAUUGCCCUAGUAACGGCGAGUGAAGCGGCAACAGCUCAAAUUUGAAAUCUGGCGCAAGCCCGAGUUGUAAUUUGUAGAGGAUGCUUCUGGGUAGCGACCGAUCUAAGUUCCUUGGAACAGGACGUCAUAGAGGGUGAGAAUCCCGUAUGUGACCGGCCCGCACCCUUUACGUAGCUCCUUCGACGAGUCGAGUUGUUUGGGAAUGCAGCUCUAAAUGGGAGGUAAAUUUCUUCUAAAGCUAAAUACCGGCCAGAGACCGAUAGCGCACAAGUAGAGUGAUCGAAAGAUGAAAAGUACUUUGGAAAGAGAGUUAAAAAGCACGUGAAAUUGUUGAAAGGGAAGCGCCUGCAACCAGACUUCGCGGCAGUGUUCCGCCGGUCUUCUGACCGGUUCAUUCUCUGUCGCGAGGCCAUCAUCGUCUGGGCCCGCCGGAUAAGACCUUAGGAAUGUAGCUCACCUUCGGGGGAGUGUUAUAGCCUAGGGUGAUGCGGCGAGGCUCGGGCGAGGUCCGCGCUUCGGCAAGGAUGAUGGCGUAAUGGUUGUCGGCGGCCCGUCUUGAAACACGGACCAAGGAGUCUAACAUCUAUGCGAGUGUUCGGGUGUCAAACCCCUACGCGUAAUGAAAGUGAACGGAGGUGGGAACCGCAAGGUGCACCAUCGACCGAUCCUGAUGUCCUCGGAUGGAUUUGAGUAAGAGCAUAGCUGUUGGGACCCGAAAGAUGG
rnacentral:rRNA from 1 species